rnacentral:rRNA from 1 species
UUGCGCCUACGGGGGGCAGCAGUGAGGAAUAUUGGUCAAUGGGCGAGAGCCUGAACCAGCCAAGUCGCGUGAGGGAAGACGGUCCUAUGGAUUGUAAACCUCUUUUGCCGGGGAGCAAAAAGCGGUACGUGUACCGCAUCGAGAGUACCCGGAGAAAAAGCAUCGGCUAACUCCGUGCCAGCAGCCACGGUAAUACGGAGGAUGCGAGCGUUGUCCGGAUUUAUUGGGCGUAAAGCGAGUGCAGGCGGUUCAAUAAGUCUGAUGUGAAAGCCUUCGGCUCAACCGGAGAAAU